rnacentral:rRNA from 1 species
UGAGGAAUAUUGGUCAAUGGACGGAAGUCUGAACCAGCCAAGUAGCGUGCAGGAUGACGGCCCUCCGGGUUGUAAACUGCUUUUAGUUGGGAAUAAAAAGAGGGACGUGUCCCUAAUUGUAUGUACCUUCAGAAAAAGGACCGGCUAAUUCCGUGCCAGCAGCCGCGGUAAUACGGAAGGUCCAGGCGUUAUCCGGAUUUAUUGGGUUUAAAGGGAGCGUAGGCGGAUUAUUAAGUCAGUGGUGAAAGACGGUGGCUCAACCAUCGUUAGCCAUUGAAACUGGUAGUCUUGAGUGCAGACAGGGAUGCUGGAACUCGUGGUGUAGCGGUGAAAUGCUUAGAUAUCACGAUGAACUCCGAUCGCGAAGGCAGGUGUCCGGGCUGCAACUGACGCUGAGGCUCGAAAGUGUGGGUAUCAAACAGG